rnacentral:lncRNA from 1 species
GAUAUGGGGAGAAUGUUAAAAGCACCUAUCUAGGUAGCUUUGUCUAGGUUAUUUAGUAAUUCUUGUCUGGUAAUGUAAAGUAGCUCUUUUGCCUUCUAUGUUUUUAUAGUGAGUGAGAGAUGCAUUAUAGCUUUCAAGCAGCAAGUGAAGCUCCAAAUUUGGGUCAUGCAGGAUCCAAGAAGAUGAGGUAUAGCCCAAACUAGCUUGCUGAUUG